rnacentral:rRNA from 1 species
UAAGGAAUAUUGGACAAUGCCCGCAAGGGUGAUCCAGCCAUGCCGCGUGCAGGAAGACGGCCCUAUGGGUUGUAAACUGCUUUUACACCGGAGAAAACCCCCGUUCGUGAACGGGGCUGAUAGUAUGGUGAGAAUAAGCAUCGGCUAACUUCGUGCCAGCAGCCGCGGUAAGACGAAGGAUGCAAGCGUUAUCCGGAUUCAUUGGGUUUAAAGGGAGCGUAGGUGGCCUUAUAAGUCAGUGGUGAAAUCUCGCGGCUUAACUGCGAAAUUGCCAUUGAUACUGUAGGGCUUGAGUAUAGAUGCCGUUGGCGGAAUAUGACAUGUAGUGGUGAAAUACAUAGAGAUGUCAUAGAACACCGAUUGCGAAGGCAGCUAACGAAACUAUAACUGACACUGAGGCUCGAAAGUGCGGGGAUCAAACAGGAUUAGAUACCCCUGUAGUCC